rnacentral:sRNA from 1 species
AACGUAUCGAAAGGAGGUGAUCCAGUGUCUCAUUGUUCGUAUCCGCAGGUGCUGGUCAUCGCGGUUGACACGUUCGCCUCUCGCGAGCGUGCCGUCUGAGCGAUUUCCCCGCAUCACUGCGGUCGGCAAUGGAAGGGCUGCCCGACGACGGGCGGCCCU